CUAUGGCCACUGUGUAGUUUUAAUGUUAAUGGAGCCAGAUGUGACCACAGGGAAGAGGUCCAAUCAGACCCAGACACCCACACUUCCCCCUCCAGCUCCUCAGAGAGGUCACAGGUCAGCUGAGAGUCUUUCCAGGGUGUCCUGUGUCAAACGAAGAGGUCUCCUCUUCGUUGGACCAAUCCUGGUGAAGCACCUCAGCUGUCUCGUCUUGAGGUGGAGAAGCUCUGGGUUCUACUAUGAGCUCCUCACCUCAUCACAUCUACAGAGGAAGCUACCCACAGCUGAUGAAAGAUCAAAGCUCCCUGCUCUUGAAAAUCUAAAAGUUCAGACUUGUUUUAAAUGGUUAGAGUUUCUUUAUUGGUUAUGUGUUUUUAAAACUGCAUAAGAGACUCUUUGUUGUACUUGCACAUGCUUUGGGAUUGUAUCUAUGUCAGGUCUUAAUGGGUCAGCAGUUCUUAACAGGUCAACAGCUUCUGGACAGGUGAACCUCCUUGGCUGGAUUCUGUGGAGAUGUGUGUGCCAAGAUUCAGCAGCAUUUCCAGAGCCCAUCUCUGGAGAUGGUGGAGAAACGUAGACGCGAGGUGCAGCAAAAGUGACACAUUUGUGUGGACAGACUGCAGAAGCUUGAUCCUUCUUAGCCAUGACUGUGGACAGUUUUAGCAUGUGGUCGUCAGACUUUAGGGGUUUAUUUGCAGAACUUAAGCUAUAAGAUUAGACACAUGUGUAAUGGAGCCAAAGAGCGGCGCAAGGACGUCCAGCAGGAAUGUCGUGUCUGAGUUCAACCCUCCUGCUGAAAACCUUUCACUUUGGGAAACAGUUUGAUGUCCUAACCUGAACUCUAUCCAGCAGCGACUCAGGUUGAGUGAUGCUCGAUCACUCCGGUGGCUUGAUGAUUCAAUCCAGAUCAGGUUUUAUUUCGCCGCUGGCUCCUUGUUGUUCUCUCGCUGUUACAUGCUGCAUGAGAUAAGCCUCUUAGCGGAUCGAGAGAGCGCAACACUCUCAGAAACAUCCUCUCUUUUUCUGGAUGUCAGGUUUGCUUUCACACAGGAACUAAUACCGGACUUAUAUCUAUCUCAAAUAUCUGUCUCUCUCAGAAGUAGUGGAGCAUCGCCAGUCUGGAUUUAGAAAUGCAGUAAUUGAAAACAUCCCACAGAUGGUGAGACAGAUGUGAGGAUUCAGCUGAGAUAACUGCGUAUUCAGAGAUGGAGUUAGUGUUUCCAGUUAGUUUCACUAGUUAUGGCUUUGAGUGGCUGAGGCAAGCUUAAUAAACCUUCAUGCCGUUGUUGCUCUGCUAACAUGUAAAACGUAAAAGUAUGACACGAUUUACACAUUUCACUUCAUAGGAAAGUUUUUUUUGGUUGUGACUGAACAAAACCAAAACCUCAAAACAGAACACUGCAUUUCCUGUGAUGCCCACUAGGAGCUGGCUACAGUCUCGCUUGUUAAAAUGUCUUUGCCAUACAAAUAAACAUGAAUUUUGGCCUUU